rnacentral:rRNA from 1 species
GACGAACGCUGGCGGCGUGCCUAAUACAUGCAAGUCGAGCGCAGGAAACUGACGGAACUCUUCGGAGGGAAGGCAGUGGAAUGAGCGGCGGACGGGUGAGUAACACGUAAGGAACCUGCCUCAAGGAUUGGGAUAACUCCGAGAAAUCGGGGCUAAUACCGGAUAGUUCAACGGACCGCAUGGUCCGCUGAUGAAAGGCGCUUCGGCGUCACCUUGAGAUGGCCUUGCGGUGCAUUAGCUAGUUGGUGGGGUAACGGCCCACCAAGGCGACGAUGCAUAGCCGACCUGAGAGGGUGAUCGGCCACACUGGGACUGAGACACGGCCCAGACUCCUACGGGAGGCAGCAGUAGGGAAUCUCCCACAAUGGACGAAAGUCUGAUGGAGCAACGCCGCGUGAGUGAUGAAGGUUUUCGGAUCGUAAAACUCUGUUGUAAGGGAAGAACACGUACGAGAGGAAAUGCUCGUACCUUGACGGUACCUUACGAGAAAGCCACGGCUAACUACGUGCCAGCAGCCGCGGUAA